rnacentral:RNase_MRP_RNA from 14 species
AAGCACGGCUUCGCAGCGCUCACACGGGGAGCGUGUUCCCAGAGUUGCUGGGAGGAAAGUCCCCGUGUCUUGGUGCAGAGAAUGCGAGUGGGAGACCGCAGGG